AGAUUGGGUGGUUUCAACAGGAACGCAUCCACUGUCUGAGAGUUUAAACUUGAUUUUGUGAGGGGACGAACAGCGUGACAAUUAAAAGAAGAUCUGGGAAUCAAAAGCUUCCUGAGGCCUUCACCAGAAGCAGAUGCUGGUGCCGUGCUUCUACAGCCUGCAGAACUGUGAGCCAAAUAAAGUUCUUUCCUUUAUAAAUUACCCAGCGUCAGGUAUUGUUUUAUAGCAAUGCAGAACAGACUAACACAGACACACACACCAACCAAGUACAGUAUGAGAAGGGAUUAUUGGGUGCCAUUUUGGAGGUUGUCUACCACAGGAUUUUAUCUGUAUCAUUAUUCAAAUUUCGUUUUUGAAAAAUUUUGUAAGGGCACAUUUAUAGAAAUAUGAAUGCUUAAUAUUUGAUGAUAUUAGGGAAUUAAACCAUUUUUGUGUGAUAGUAAUUUUUAAAGAUUCCUUAUCUUUUAGAAAUACAUAUUGAAAUAUUUAGAGAUGUAGUGAUAUAAUGUCUGGGGUAUGCUUCAAGAUAAGAGUUGCAGAAAGUGGGUGGUAGUAUAAAUCAAGAUUGGUUAUGAGUUGAGAAUUUUUGAGUAAUAGGUAUAUGGGGACUAAGUAUUCUAUUCUUCAUACUUUUACAUGCCGUAAAUCCCCACUUAUCUGCAGGGAAUGUGUUCCAAGACCCCCAGUGGAUGCCUGAAACUGAGAAUAGUACUGGACCCUGUAUAUACUGUGUUUUUUCUUUCCUUAUUGAGAACUUUUAUGUUUUCACUUAAAGGAAGGACUUUACAGCUUCUCUUUCGCAUAUCCAAAUUGCCAGCAUCACCGCUCUUGCACUCCAAGCCAUUAUUAAGUAAAGUAAAGAACACAAACACUGUGAUACUGCUACACUUGAUCUGAUAACCAAGAAGUCUACUAAGUGACUAACAGGUGGGUAGCAUAUACAGCAUAGAUACACUGGACAAAGGGAGGACUCACAUCCUGGGCAAGAUGGAGCAGAAUGGCAGAGUUCAUCAUGCUGCUCAAAAUGAUGUGCAAUUUAAAACUAAUGAAUUAUUUCUGGAAUUUUUCAGUUAAUAUUUUUGGACAUGAGGUGACUGCAGUUAACUAAAACCAUGGAAAGCAAACCCAUAGAUAAAGGGAUACUAUGGUAUGUUUUCAUUUUCUAUAAUAAAAAGUUAAAAAGGAAAAAGACACCAUAGGAAAAUAAAAGACAAGUCACAAACUGGGAAAAGAUCUUUGCAACACAUGUGACUAUCGAAAGGAUUAGUAUUCACACUGUGUAAAGAACCACUACAAUUCAAUGAAAAUGAAGAUAAUGCUUUCCACCCCAAACAGGCAAUUCAUACAGGAGAAAACCUGAAAAGAUACCCAACCACAAGGAAAUACCAUUUCACACCCACCAGAUGAACAAAAAUGUAAAAGUCUGGCAAUAUUACAAUUCUUAUACAUUGCUGGUUGGAGUAUGAAUUGAUAUAAUCAAUUUGGGAAACAAUAUGGUAUUAUCUAGUAGCUGAAGAUGCACAUCUUCUGUGACCCAGGAAAAAUGUAUAGCAGGAGACAUGAGCAAGAAAAUUCAUAAUGGCAUUUAUAACAGUAAAACGUGGAAGAAAAUCCACUGUCCAUCAACAGUAGAGUGAUUAAAUACAUUGUAUAUGCUCAUACAGCAGAAUAUAGUGGUGGAAAAAAUAAAUUACAAGUUCAUGGACAUAGAUAAAUCUCUAACAAAAUGUUGAGCAAAUAAAAAUUCACAAAAGAAUUUUACAGUAGGAUUCCAUUUAUAUAAAGAACCAAUGAAAGUAAAUAGCCUAAGGGUACAAACAUAAGUAAAUCUAUAAAUUAAAGCAAAAGAAUGAUAAGCACAAAUUCAAGGCAGUGAUUUCCUCUAGCUACAGAGGGAAGGGAAUGAAGUAAGGAAAAGGUGAACAAGGAGCUUAAAAGUAUGAUAAUUAUAUGUGUUGGUUUGGCCAAACAGUCCUGGUUUACCUAGCACAGUUCUGGUUUGCUGAUUGCCUGGUGUAAUGAUUAAUAGCACUGUCACUCCCCAAAUUGUCAUUGUUUGGAUAAUGAAUUAUAUGCAUCCUUUUUAGAGUAAAAGUAACUUUUUUCUCCUUAAACUGGAUGGAGGGCAUGUGGGUCUUUAUCAUUCUUCCUUAUACAUGUAUUUUUAAAAUAUAAUUUAAAACUAGUCAGUAUUUUAAAAUAUAAUUUAAAACUUUAGUCAGUGUUAGUCACUGUGUUAGUGACAACACAGUAAAAAAAAAAAAUUUGUAAGAUAAAUAAAUAUAAAUAGGAUCCAAAUGAAACUCUUUUCAUCUGGGUGGAUACAGGGAUAAAUAACAUACUAUAUGCCUGGCAUUGUAUUAAGCUUGUUACUGAUAUUACUUCAUAUUCAUAGCAAGACAUUUAGGUAGGCAUUAUUAUCUCCAUUUUACACAUGAAGAAUCUAAGACACAAAGACUAUACAUAAUUUAACCAAAGUCAUAUUAUAUGUGACAGCGCAGAAUUUGAACCCAAGCAGUGUGACAUCAGACUACAUGCUCUUAACUACCAUGCCAGAGCCCAUAACAGAUUUUCUUAACCUUUUUUAUGCCACAGAUCCCUUUGACAGUCUGGUGAAGCCUAUAGAGUCCUUUUUAGAGUAAUGUCUUUUGUACAUCAAAUAUAAUGCACAGGAUUAUAAAUAAAAUCAAUUAUACUAAAAUAUGGUAAUCAAAAUAUUUAACAAAUGUAUACUAUACCUGUACUUUUUAUUAAUGCAUUAAAUAAAUAAUAAAAUCUAGCAGGUCUAAUGAAUAAUUUUGAAAUAAUAAUAAUAAUUGUAUCUUGAGAUAUCUACAAAUAUAGUAAUGUGAUAGGAAAAUGUUUGUGAUUUUGAUAAGUGAAAAAGUCACCAAAAUACUUGUAAUAACACUGUGGUUUUUUGCAUAUGUUCACAAUGGAAAGAAAUCCUAAAUCUUACUUCGAAGUUAGCAAGAAUUACAAUAUUUUUCCCACCCCAAUUCAUGGCCCUCUACUUUAUGGUCUUAUUUCAUAGGCUUUCUGACAUGUUUUGCUUCAAAGAGGUCCUAUUCCCCAUCCCAUUUCCUAUCUUCUGGUUUGGGAUUACACUCAAGAUGUGAUAUACAGAUAGAUUAGUUUAUUAGAAAGAAAAUAUUUUUCCACAUGGCGAACUUUAGUGGAGGCUAACAAAUCAGAAUGUGCUAAAAUAGCCAUGUGUACAUAUAGACAAUGGGAAGCUUGGAACUGCUUUAGCAUUUUAUACAAAAGACUUAAAAGUAAUUUCAGCUGGGCACUGUGGCUCGGGCCUGUAAUCCCAGCACUUUGGGAGGCUAAAGUGAGAGGAUUGCUUGAGGCCAGGAGUUCAAGACCAGCCUGGGCAACAUAGUGAGAC
rnacentral:lncRNA from 1 species